rnacentral:misc_RNA from 1 species
GAUGAAGAACGUAGCGAAAUGCGAUAAGUAAUGUGAAUUGCAGAAUUCAGUGAAUCAUCGAAUCUUUGAACGCACAUUGCGCCCGGCAGUACUCUGCCGGGCAUGCCUGUUCGAGCAUCAUUUCAACCCUCAAGCCCUGCUUGGUGUUGGGGCCCCACGGCUGCCGUGGGCCCUGAAAGGAAGUGGCGGGCUCGCUACAACUCCGAGCGUAGUAAUUCAUUAUCUCGCUUAGGGCGUUGGGCGGCGCUCCAGCCGUUAAAGAACCAUCUUUAACUCAAGGUUGACCUCGGAUCAGGUAGGAAUACCCGCUGAACUUAAGCAUAUCAAUAAGCGGAGGA